UGGCUCAGAGGUUAAGAGCACUGGCUGCUCUGCCAGAGGUCCUGAGUUCAAUUCUCAG
rnacentral:tRNA from 1 species